rnacentral:sRNA from 1 species
AUUCUGCCCAUGCGGGGAAGGAUGAGAAGCUUCGACCAAGGUUCGACUCGAGUGCCAGCGAGAGAGCGUUGCCGCAGGCAACGACCCGUAGGGCGAAGCGCGCAGCGCUGAGUAAUCCUUCCCCCACCACAA